AGAGUUUGAUCAUGGCUCAGGAUGAACGCUAGCUACAGGCUUAACACAUGCAAGUCGAGGGGCAGCAUGUUGGUUGCUUGCAACCAAUGAUGGCGACCGGCGCACGGGUGAGUAACGCGUAUCCAACCUACCCUUGUCCAUCGGAUAACCCGUCGAAAGGCGGCCUAACACGAUAUGCGGUUCACAGCAGGCAUCUAAAGGUGAACGAAAUGUGAAGGAGAAGGAUGGGGAUGCGUCUGAUUAGCUUGUUGGCGGGGUAACGCCACAAGGCGACGAUCAGUAGGGGUUCUGAGAGGAAGGUCCCCCANAUUGGAACUGAGACACGGUCCAAACUCCGUACGGGAGCA
rnacentral:rRNA from 1 species